UAUUGCUCAAUGGGAGAAAUCCNGAAGCAGCAACGCCGCGUGGAGGAUGAAGGGUCUAUGACUUGUAAACUCCUGUAAAGAAGGAAAAAAUUCCCAUUUGAUGGGAGAUGAUGGUACUUCUGGAGUAAGCCCCGGCUAACUACGUGCCAGCAGCCGCGGUAAUACGUAGGGGGCAAGCGUUGUCCGGAUUUACUGGGUGUAAAGGGUGCUCAGGCGGAUUUGUAAGUCAGAGGUGAAAUCUUACAGCUUAACUGUGAAACUGCCUUUGAUACUGCAAGCCUAGAGUAUGGAAGAGNGUGAUGGAAUAUCUGGUGUAGCAGUGAAAUGCGUAGAGAUCAGAUAGAACACCAAUGGCGAAGGCAGUCACUUGGUCCAUUACUGACGCUAAAGCACGAAAGCGUGGGUAGCAAACA
rnacentral:rRNA from 1 species